AAUGAACGCUGGCGGCAUGCCUAACACAUGCAAGUCGAACGAGACCUUCGGUCUAGUGGCGCACGGGUGCGUAACGCGUGGGAAUCUACCCUUGGGUUCGGAAUAACAGUUAGAAAUGACUGCUAAUACCGGAUGAUGACGUAAGUCCAAAGAUUUAUUCGCCCAGGAUGAGCCCGCGUAGGAUUAGCUAGUUGGUGAGGUAAAAGACUCACCAAGGCGACGAUCCUUAGCUGGUCUGAGAGGAUGAUCAGCCACACUGGGAC
rnacentral:rRNA from 1 species